UCGUCACACUAUCGUUAACUGAAUACAUAGGUUAACGAGGCGAACCGGGGGAACUGAAACAUCUAAGUACCCCGAGGAAAAGAAAUCAACCGAGAUUCCCCCAGUAGCGGCGAGCGAACGGGGAGCAGCCCAGAGUCUGAAUCAGCUUGUGUGUUAGUGGAACGGUCUGGAAAGUCCGACGGUACAGGGUGAUAGUCCCGUACACCAAAAUGCACAGGCUGUGAACUCGAAGAGUAGGGCGGGACACGUGGUAUCCUGUCUGAAUAUGGGGGGACCAUCCUCCAAGGCUAAAUACUCCUGACUGACCGAUAGUGAACCAGUACCGUGAGGGAAAGGCGAAAAGAACCCCGGCGAGGGGAGUGAAAAAGAACCUGAAACCGUGUACGUACAAGCAGUGGGAGCACCUUCGGGUGUGACUGCGUACCUUUUGUAUAAUGGGUCAGCGACUUAUAUUCUGUAGCAAGGUUAACCGUAUAGGGGAGCCGCAGGGAAACCGAGUCUUAACUGGGCGUUAAGUUGCAGGGUAUAGACCCGAAACCCGGUGAUCUAGCCAUGGGCAGGUUGAAGGUUGGGUAACACUAACUGGAGGACCGAACCGACUAAUGUUGAAAAAUUAGCGGAUGACUUGUGGCUGGGGGUGAAAGGCCAAUCAAACCGGGAGAUAGCUGGUUCUCCCCGAAAGCUAUUUAGGUAGCGCCUCGUGAACUCAUCUUCGGGGGUAGAGCACUGUUUCGGCUAGGGGGUCAUCCCGACUUACCAACCCGAUGCAAACUACGAAUACCGAAGAAUGUUAUCACGGGAGACACACGGCGGGUGCUAACGUCCGUCGUGAAGAGGGAAACAACCCAGACCGCCAGCUAAGGUCCCAAAGUCAUGGUUAAGUGGGAAACGAUGUGGGAAGGCACAGACAGCCAGGAUGUUGGCUUAGAAGCAGCCAUCAUUUAAAGAAAGCGUAAUAGCUCACUGGUCGAGUCGGCCUGCGCGGAAGAUGUAACGGGGCUAAACCAUGCACCGAAGCUGCGGCAGCGACACUAUGUGUUGUUGGGUAGGGGAGCGUUCUGUAAGCCUGCGAAGGUGUGCUGUGAGGCAUGCUGGAGGUAUCAGAAGUGCGAAUGCUGACAUAAGUAACGAUAAAGCGGGUGAAAAGCCCGCUCGCCGGAAGACCAAGGGUUCCUGUCCAACGUUAAUCGGGGCAGGGUGAGUCGACCCCUAAGGCGAGGCCGAAAGGCGUAGUCGAUGGGAAACAGGUUAAUAUUCCUGUACUUGGUGUUACUGCGAAGGGGGGACGGAGAAGGCUAUGUUAGCCGGGCGACGGUUGUCCCGGUUUAAGCAUGUAGGCUGAUUAUCCAGGCAAAUCCGGAUAAUCAAGGCUGAGGUGUGAUGACGAGGCACUACGGUGCUGAAGUAACAAAUGCCCUGCUUCCAGGAAAAGCCUCUAAGCAUCAGGUAACAUCAAAUCGUACCCCAAACCGACACAGGUGGUCAGGUAGAGAAUACCAAGGCGCUUGAGAGAACUCGGGUGAAGGAACUAGGCAAAAUGGUGCCGUAACUUCGGGAGAAGGCACGCUGGUGUGUAGGUGAAGUCCCUGCGGAUGGAGCUGAGACCAGUCGAAGAUACCAGCUGGCUGCAACUGUUUAUUAAAAACACAGCACUGUGCAAACACGAAAGUGGACGUAUACGGUGUGACGCCUGCCCGGUGCCGGAAGGUUAAUUGAUGGGGUUAUCCGUAAGGAGAAGCUCUUGAUCGAAGCCCCGGUAAACGGCGGCCGUAACUAUAACGGUCCUAAGGUAGCGAAAUUCCUUGUCGGGUAAGUUCCGACCUGCACGAAUGGCGUAAUGAUGGCCAGGCUGUCUCCACCCGAGACUCAGUGAAAUUGAACUCGCUGUGAAGAUGCAGUGUACCCGCGGCAAGACGGAAAGACCCCGUGAACCUUUACUAUAGCUUGACACUGAACAUUGAGCCUUGAUGUGUAGGAUAGGUGGGAGGCUUUGAAGCGUGGACGCCAGUCUGCGUGGAGCCAACCUUGAAAUACCACCCUUUAAUGUUUGAUGUUCUAACGUUGGCCCCUUACCGGGGUUGCGGACAGUGUCUGGUGGGUAGUUUGACUGGGGCGGUCUCCUCCCAAAGCGUAACGGAGGAGCACGAAGGUUAGCUAAUCCUGGUCGGACAUCAGGAGGUUAGUGCAAUGGCAUAAGCUAGCUUGACUGCGAGCGUGACGGCGCGAGCAGGUGCGAAAGCAGGUCAUAGUGAUCCGGUGGUUCUGAAUGGAAGGGCCAUCGCUCAACGGAUAAAAGGUACUCCGGGGAUAACAGGCUGAUACCGCCCAAGAGUUCAUAUCGACGGCGGUGUUUGGCACCUCGAUGUCGGCUCAUCACAUCCUGGGGCUGAAGUAGGUCCCAAGGGUAUGGCUGUUCGCCAUUUAAAGUGGUACGCGAGCUGGGUUUAGAACGUCGUGAGACAGUUCGGUCCCUAUCUGCCGUGGGCGCUGGAGAAUUGAGGGGGGCUGCUCCUAGUACGAGAGGACCGGAGUGGACGCAUCACUGGUGUUCGGGUUGUCAUGCCAAUGGCACUGCCCGGUAGCUAAAUGCGGAAGAGAUAAGUGCUGAAAGCAUCUAAGCACGAAACUUGCCCCGAGAUGAGUUCUCCCUGAGACUUUAAGUCUCCUGAAGGAACGUUGAAGACGACGACGUUGAUAGGCCGGGUGUGUAAGCGCAGCGAUGCGUUGAGCUAACCGGUACUAAUGAACCGUGAGGCUUAACCUU
rnacentral:rRNA from 1 species